CCUACGGGUGGCAGCAGUAGGGAAUAUUGCUCAAUGGGGGAAACCCUGAAGCAGCAACGCCGCGUGGAGGAUGAAGGUUUUCGGAUUUUUAACUCCUUUUUUUAGAGAAGAUAAUUACGGUAUCUAACCAUUAAGCACCGGCUAACUCCGUUCCAGCAGCCGCAGUAAUAUGGCGGGGGCAAGCGUUACUCGGAAUUACUGGGCGUAAAGAGCGUGUAGGCGGGAUAGCAAGUCAGAUGUGAAAUCAUAAGGUCUAAACAUAAAACUGCAAUUGAAACUGUUAUUUUAGAGGAUGGGAGAGGUAGGUGGAAUUCUGGGUGGAGGGGUAAAAUGCGGAGAGAUCAAGAAGAA
rnacentral:rRNA from 1 species